GAUGAACGCUAGCUACAGGCUUAACACAUGCAAGUCGAGGGGAAACGGCAUCGAAAGCUUGCUUUUGAUGGGCGUCGACCGGCGCACGGGUGAGUAACGCGUAUCCAACCUGCCCAUCACUUGGGAAUAACCUUGCGAAAGUAAGACUAAUGCCCAAUGACAUCCCACGAAGGCAUCCGAAUGGGAUUAAAGAUUUAUCGGAGAUGGAUGGGGAUGCGUCUGAUUAGCUUGUGGGCGGGGUGACGGCCCACCAAGGCAACGAUCAGUAGGGGUUCUGAGAGGAAGGUCCCCCACAUUGGAACUGAGACACGGUCCAAACUCCUACGGGAGGCAGCAGUGAGGAAUAUUGGACAAUGGGCGAGAGCCUGAACCAGCCAAGUAGCGUGCAGGAUGACGGCCCUAUGGGUUGUAAACUGCUUUUAUAAGGGAAUAAAGUGGGUCACGUGUGACUUUUUGCAUGUACCUUAUGAAUAAGGACCGGCUAAUUCCGUGC
rnacentral:rRNA from 1 species